rnacentral:rRNA from 1 species
GACGAACGCUGGCGGCGUGCUUAACACAUGCAAGUCGAACGGUAAGGCCCUUCGGGGUACACGAGUGGCGAACGGGUGAGUAACACGUGGGUGAUCUGCCCUGCACUUCGGGAUAAACCUGGGAAACUGGGUCUAAUACCGGAUAGGACCCUGGGAUGCAUGUCCUGGGGUGGAAAGCUUUUGCGGUGUGGGAUGGGCCUGCGGCCUAUCAGCUUGUUGGUGGGGUGAUGGCCUACCAAGGCGACGACGGGUAGCCGGCCUGAGAGGGUGACCGGCCACACUGGGACUGAGAUACGGCCCAGACUCCUACGGGAGGCAGCAGUGGGGAAUAUUGCACAAUGGGCGCAAGCCUGAUGCAGCGACGCCGCGUGAGGGAUGACGGCCUUCGGGUUGUAAACCUCUUUCAGCACCGACGAAGCGCAAGUGACGGUAGGUGCAGAAGAAGGACCGGCCAACUACGUGCCAGCAGCCGCCGUAA